CAACACUCAAGCUCUGCUUGGCGUUGGGGUUAUACGGCAAAAUUCCUGCCGUAUGCCCUGAAAAUCAGUGGCGGGACCGCGAGGAAACCCGGACGAAGUAGAAAUUACAGCGUCAAGGGAUACCUAGCUGGCCUCUAGCCGUAAAAUUUUUAAAAUUUUAUCAGUG
rnacentral:misc_RNA from 1 species